UGGUUUGAAAAUAGUAAACUAUUCAUUUCUCCAUUGUUAGCUGAGAACUUUCCUUUCAAAAAUUUGUUUGGAGCUCUUGGUAAACUUUGGACCAGUUUCUCGUGAUACAAUAAUAUGAUAAAUAUCAUAGCAAGGGAAGCCAAAUGCUGGGGAUUUUGGGGGCUAUGGCCUACAGUAUGCUCCAGUUCUUUGGGGUGGAGCAUUAUAGUGGCCAAAUCUUCAAGGGAGUAGAACAUGAUAGUAGUGUUUGUGGCUUCAUAACCAUGCCAUACUCAUGAAUUUUAAAGGCGUUUCCACCAAUAAGAUGCGGGAAGAUUAAUUCACUCUUUACAGAAGCCUCUCAUGACCUAUCACCUUCAGAGUCAGAGGAUACAAUGCAAAGUUGCCGGCAUUCUCAAAACAGACUUGUAGAUCCACUAAGGCUAUUUACCAAAUGGAUUGAGUAUUAUUCGAGUUGAAAGACAAAUAGACAAAUAGCCCCUUUUCUUGCAUUGGGAUGUGGGUUGACAGGGUGCUGUUUAAUGAAAAGUGGGAUUUUCCCAUUUUCAACAAGCUCGUUCAGGGAAUUUGACACCAACAAGGAGCAAAGCUCUGUCAGUAAAGUGCCUUGUUAGCAUCUUUUGGUUGUCGGCGUAUAUUGUCUGGACAGAAAUUUCUUCCAUUGCAUCUUAUUGAUGGAAUUAUUUUUCAGCUGCCAUUUGGGUUUCAACAAAUGGUCCCCCCCCCCCCCAGCAGAAGUCCCUCGGGGAUUAGCAGAAACAACUGAAAAGCUCUCGCUAAUGUCAGUUUCUUUUUCUACUUAUGUUGUUAUCUUGAUGCAUUUGAAGGAUAUUUUGUCCUCCAAUGAUGUAUUAACUAAGACAAUUAAAAACAUAUUAGUAUGUAAUGCACUUGUUUGAUUACUGUUUCAUUCCCAACAAAUUUUUCUGUUUUUUUU